rnacentral:lncRNA from 1 species
GAGGCCUAGAUGUCAUUUGGGACCCUUCACAACCAUUUUGAAGCCCUGUUUGAGUCCCUGGGAUAUGUGAGCUGUUUCUAUGCAUAAUGGAUAUUCGGGGUUAACAACAGUCCCCUGCUUGGCUUCUAUUCUGAAUCCUUUUCUUUCACCAUGGGGUGCCUGAAGGGUGGCUGAUGCAUAUGGUACAAUGGCACCCAGUGUAAAGCAGCUACAAUUAGGAGUGGAUGUGUUCUGUAGCAUCCUAUUUAAAUAAGCCUAUUUUAUCCUUUGGCCCGUCAACUCUGUUAUCUGCUGCUUGUACUGGUGCCUGUACUUUUCUGACUCUCAUUGACCAUAUUCCACGACCAUGGUUGUCAUCCAUUACUUGAUCCUACUUUACAUGUCUAGGCUGUGUGGUUGGUGGUGAAUAGGCUUCUUUUUACAUGGUGCUGCCAGCCCAGCUAAUUAAUGGUGCACGUGGACUUUUAGCAAGCGGGCUCACUGGAAGAGACUGAACCUGGCAUGGAAUUCCUGAAGAUGUUUGGGGUUUUUUUCUUUCUUAAUCGAAAGUUAACAUUGUCUGAAAAGUUUUGUUAGAACUACUGCGGAACCUCAAAAUCAGUAGAUUUGGAAGUGAUUCAAAGCUAAACUUUUUCCUUGGCCCUCCUUGUGUUCUAAUUGCUUGCAAGUGUAAUACUAGGAUGUCCAAGAUGCCAGUUUUUGCUUCUUUGUUAGUUGUCAGCUGCUUUUAUCAAAUUUCAGGCCAUUAUCCAACAAACACUAUAAAAAUGUUUGAACAAUUGGAUUUCAAACAUUUUCGUUUUGUGGAGUGGUGCUCACCAAGUGGUACAGCCCUAAGCAAGUGAACACAAACACAUUUAAGUGUAUUUUGUCUGAUUAGAUGUUAGCCAGUUAUGCUAUUUCAUUCAAAUGUCUGAAAAAAUCAAUUGACUAUUCCCUUUUCCUAAAGGGCAGAGACAGAUAAUCUCACUUCCAGAGAAAUGACUUGGAGAAAAAAAAGUGUUGGUCUUUUUGCUCUUUUGUAAUUAAAUCCGGAUGUACCUCAAAAGACUUAAGACUGUGGUGAUAAGAUGCUUUCCUCAGCAGAAAGGAGGGAAAAAAAACAACUGGAACUCAAAGCUUGAAAUUCUGUGGCAAAACAUGAGAUGUCCAGGAUUGGAGGUUGAAAAGAUUUCACUACAGUGUUCUGCAAUAGUUGGAGCAGAUAACUUUCAGUGUAGCCACAGCCAUGGACUCCAGAUUUCCAGAUUUUCAAGACCUGGACCUGGAACCCGAAAGAGCUUGUCACGAUGCGGCAGGAACACUGGAGGUAGAUUUUUUUUUAUUUUUGAAUUUUGGGACUGUUGACCUUGCUGUGAGAAAAGAGACAACGACUGAGCAAGCACUACCACCAGCACUGUUACUGGGAAUUAGAAGACCUGAGUUUCUGUCCAGACCCUCAGUGCAAACUGAGGAUGCUCCAUCCAAAGUGAAUUAUGUCCUGUGCCUCCUGAUUGCUGAGUGUUCACCUGGACCUUCUGACUACCUUCCCUGUGCUAUUCCAUCAGCCUACAGACCUGGUACCUGGAUUUUUGCCCGAGAUGAUUCCUACCACCUUACUACUGACGAAGACACCCAUUCCAGUGGACCACUGUGACCCAGGAGGCAUUCAGCCAUCAUGAUGUGGCCUUUACCUCCACUCCUGUCUUGUUCUACCCAGAUUCAGCACAGCCCUUUAUAGUGAAGUCAGAGUCCUCAAGCCAAAUAGCUAAAGCUGUUUUAUCACAACAAAGGCCUAGUUUGUUCCAUGAGUGUGCAUUUCAUUUCUUCAGUUAAAGCCUUCAGAGACACACAAUAAAUUUGGACCAGGGGAUUUUUUAGUUAUUAAUGCUCUCUGAAGAAAGGCAACAUCUUUUUGAGAGCAGCAUUGGACCACACCCCACAAUCUCAAAUGAUUGAAAUUCAUGAACAUCUAGGAUCCCGUGAAGGUCACUGGACCCUGUUUUUUCUACUUCAAAUCCUGUAGUAGCCUACUGAAUGAGAAAACAUAUUCUGACCCAUUGGGAUCAAAUCAAAGGCACAGUGAACUCCUCAUAGCAUCUUCUUUGGAAUUACUCAGGAACCAGAACUUUUUACACAAAUGUAAGAAAUUCUACCAAGGAGUCCCCUUACCUAACAGCAUCUCACAAGGCUGCACCAGAUUCCAGAAAAGGCUUCUCUUGAUACAUCAAGGUAGAACCUCUAUGCAUUUUGUGACCGACUUAUUCUUAGAUCAUUGGUUUUCCAAAGGCUUUGUGGCCAUGAAGCCCUUUGAGUGAAAACUGUGCAGAAGCCCAGAGUAAAAGUGAAGCUGCUCUGGAUGAAGUAGUGAAGCAAGAGUAGGGGCCUGAAUCCUGCUACAACUAUCUUCCUUUACCACCGUGGUGACACCUAAGGGGACUUCCUUACAACACCUUGAACUCUUCCGAACACAGUUUGAAAACCACUGCCCCAGACAGCAAUAUGUUUGACCUGAAUGGCAUUCCAAUCUUUUCUGUACCUCCACUCAGCACAGUUCAUGUUCAGUAGAUGCUGAACAUUCUUAGAAAUACUGUGUGUGAACUUAGAAAAGUGCAAGAAGACAGGCAUGUCUUUGACCCCAGGAAUGAUCAUUUGCUGAAGAUGGUGUCAAGUGAACCUAGAUUAACAGCCCUCCACUCCAGAUGGAUAUCCAGUGAUUCCUAGAAUGGGAUAUAGCCAGAGAACAAUUCUAUGCACCCUACACUGACAGACUCCCUUAAGCAACACCAGAUGCUCUACUGGUACUUGAAGUACAUGACUUUGAAGUCUUGACCCUCCAUGAAUACCUGAAUUAUCAGCAAGCGGGUUUUGAAGCUGGUGCCUCAUUGAGGCCAUAUUAGAGCAACUUGUACAUUUGACCUCUUGUUAUCAGCCAUGGUACUCUACUUCGUGUGCAAGAGAUAACUAUGAAAGCCAAAUUCAAAUACUGGCAACAUUUCCUAAAGGGGCUCAAUAUCUAUCAUUCGUCUUCUUUUCCAAACUACACAUCACUGUAUGACUCAACCAGUAGCAGUUAUAUUGCCCCUUGGUUUUUAUUCAGUUUAACUACUGUUUCCAAGAUAAAUGAGCUAAUAAGCUUUAAAAAAAAAAAAAAAAAAGGCUGAAUUCUUUUUUCUUCAUCACUGGCAUAUCUGCCUAUUCUCCAGAAUUAUUAUGACUAUUCAGCUCACUUUAACAGUUGAACUUCAAGCGACAAUCUUUGAACACCCCUUCUCAUGUGAUUUAAAAUGAAACCAUUUGGAAAAGUUUCUUCUAGCCAGUAAUAGAUUUUUUUUUUAAUUGCUCUGCCUUGUGCCGAGAGAUGUUCUUUUAAGAUGAAUCUUUUGAUGUCUGAUACCACCAAAUAUAGGUGGUAGGGAGAGUUGGAGGCUGGCCCUUUGAGCAGGCCAUUAGCUUACUUGCUGGGCAUUUCCGAUAGCUUAUUGCCUACCUUUUUGCUGGAAACAAACUGAUUUGAAAAACAAAAUCUAUGAAGACUGCAGCUAAGGAUUUUAUCGGUAGACUUAAGAGCUUUUGUCCUUGUGGAUAUUUUAGUGGAACCACAUCAGUCUCAAUACUGUCAUUUUACACUGACUCAGAGCAGCUGACUUCAUUCCUUGCCAUGAUAUAUAUUUAAGGCAGGCAUUGUAACAGACAUAAAGACAACUUAUCUGUUUCAGCAGGAAGGAUUCAGUUUAUGAACUCUCAGACCAGAUCAUGUUGAACAAGGAGACUUUGAUGUGUGUCAUGAGAAAACUCAUUCUUUACUUCCCAGUCAAUUUAAAGGCCAGCUAUCCUGAGCUACUCGAAUGAAUGCACUGGUUAAACAUUGGAAAUAGUUUGUUUAUAUCCUUGUCUCUCUCUAGGCCAAUUGUGAUUACAUGACUCGACUCUACAUCUCGUCAAACAAGGCCUAGGUCUGGUUGCUGUAGACUGCUCGCCCUCAACAAAUAAAAUCUGGUUGACUAGCCUCCUUGUAUAUACAACUAUUAUUUGUUAAGAAGAAAUUAUCGUCAAUUUUCUACUACCUUCCAAUUGUCAGCUCUUUUUUUCCUCUCUGGUUUUUCCUAUACUUUACAGAAAAAGACAUUGAUCUAUACUGCCAUUCCCUCUAAUCCUGCCAUACUCAGUCAAAAGGAAUGACUUAAGAUGAAGAUGAUCAUCUGCUCGAGUCUAAAAUAUACAUUGUAUAUAAGAAUUGGUGAUUAGAAAAGCAAAAAACCUAAAACUUAAAUCUAGGAGUCUGUAUACUGUCUCCAUGUCUCCAUGCCUCAGAUCUCAUCUAAAUCUUUGAACAGCACCAUUCAACCAAUCUGAGGCCUUGACUUGCUUGUAAGAUGAUUCUCAGAGAUCGGCUGAGUUAAAAAAGAUGACGACUUGAUUACCAAAGAAAGUAGGGCCAACUUUGACAAAUCUGGCUCUGCUGACCCUGUCACUCCCAGAUGUAGCAUAGACUCCUAAACAGAACCUCAAGUCUGAUUGAGGAUAAGGCCUUCUCCUGAGCUGAAAGUUCUUUGGCAGAUGAGCAAGAAACUGAAAGCUGAUGUACCUGACUGGCUCUGUAAGAUCAGAAAACUGUAUCCAGAAUAAGCCCUAUGGAUUAACCCCUGAGUACCCAGAGUAAAAACUAAUUUACAGAACUUCCUUAUUGAUCUGCUGGUUCUUCCAGAUCAUAUUCUGGCUAUUGGUAUGGCUGGCCUUUCUGAAGGUACCCUGCUUGUCUAUUUUCCUGACUCAGCUCUUGCCUGCCUUUUUCACAUGUUGCUGCAAUUAGACUCACCGUGAGGACUACAGUCAAUUUCAGUCUAUCUUGUGCCCAAUACAACAAGGAUUUUUAAUAGUAACAACCCACACCUCACCCACUAGGACUCAAUGUUCACAACAGGAAGGACCAUUGCUGCAUACUCCUUGACCAGCAACUUUUUUGAAGAUAUUUUUAAGUGCAGAGUAGGCCUCUAUUCCUGUAUGUAAUUGUUCAUUUUCAGCACCUGGAACCUCAUCUAUCGGGUCUGGAAGGAAUACAGCAGUUCGAAAGCCGCGUCCAUUUCUCUCCUUCAGUAGUGCAGAAAUGAGUCCGAUUCACCAGUACACACAGAACUGUACCAGUUCAACCUAGCAAAAGAAGAAAAGUUUCCACUGUACUUAAAAUUUACAGCUGACUCAAAUUGCCUCACAGAAUUAUUUGAUGUAGAAGGCUAGUUGUCUUACUUCAGAUCAGCAGGACAGUUGGGCUCUCAGACUCAUGACCACUGAGUUUGCUUGUGUUGAAACUGUGGUUUCAUCCAACAUAUGCUAUUGGACAUGAUUAUUAUUCCAUUCAAAUGGAUUACAGACUUCUUGAGGACAGGACAAACUUAUCUCUCAUGGUGUUUUUUUAGAAUACUUUUAUAACCAAGGAAGAAACCAUGCCAGCUGUUACCAUUCAACUUCUUAAGCAGAGAUUAAGCUUUUUCAUAUCUGUUCUUAUCCUGGACAUCAGUAGUUUUUAAUUGCCCAGCAUCCGUUCCAUCUUGUAACAACUCCCUGAUGUUUCUUAAAACCACCUCUUCCUAUUUUCAGUCUGUGGUUUGGACAGUCUGACCCAACCUUGAGCUUUGUGGGUGAACAUGUAAUUCAGACCUCAUCAAUCAGCAAAUCCAUCUGAACUGUGGAGGAGAAGCUCUCUUUACUGAGGGUGCUUUAGCUUUGUAGGAUGAAAACCUCAAACUAACAGGGCCUACCAUGUAGAGAAUGAAGCCAGUGCAGGGGAAAGCAGAGCCAAAAUAUGGAGAGACUUGAAUCCUGAUGACAGCGUUUGUGCCCCUGGAUCCAACCGUGCCUGAAGCUAGAAUAUCCCCUGGACUUUUCAGUUAUGUGA